AUUGAACGCUGGCGGCAGGCCUAACACAUGCAAGUCGAGCGAGCGGCGGACGGGUGAGUAAUGUCUGGGGAACUGCCUGAUGGAGGGGGAUAACUACUGGAAACGGUGGCUAAUACCGCAUACCAUCGGAUGUACCCAGAUGGGAUUAGCUAGUAGGUGGGGUAAUGGCUCACCUAGGCGACGAUCCCUAGCUGGUCUGAGAGGAUGACCAGCCACACUGGAACUGAGACACGGCCCAGACUCCUACGGGAGGCAGCAGUGGGGAAUAUUGCACAAUGGGCGCAAGCCUGAUGCAGCCAUGCCGCGUGUAUGAAGAAGGCCUUCGGGUUGUAAAGUACUUUCAGUCGGGAGGCGUUACCGGCAGAAGAAGCACCGGCUAACUCCGUGCCAGCAGCCGCGGUAAUAC
rnacentral:rRNA from 1 species